AGUGAACGCUGGCGGUAGGCCUAACACAUGCAAGUCGAACGGCAGCACAGUAAGAGCUUGCUCUUACGGGUGGCGAGUGGCGGACGGGUGAGGAAUACAUCGGAAUCUACUUUUUCGUGGGGGAUAACGUAGGGAAACUUACGCUAAUACCGCAUACGACCUACGGGUGAAAGCAGGGGAUCUUCGGACCUUGCGCGAUUGAAUGAGCCGAUGUCGGAUUAGCUAGUUGGCGGGGUAAAGGCCCACCAAGGCGACGAUCCGUAGCUGGUCUGAGAGGAUGAUCAGCCACACUGGAACUGAGACACGGUCCAGACUACUACGGGAGGCAGCAGCGGGGAAUAUUGGACAAUGGGCGCAAGCCUGAUCCAGCCAUACCGCGUGGGUGAAGAAGGCCUUCGGGUUGUAAAGCCCUUUUGUUGGGAAAGAAAAGCAGCAGGUUAAUACCCCGCUGUUCUGACGGUACCCAAAGAAUAAGCACCGGCUAACUUCGUG
rnacentral:rRNA from 1 species